AUUGAACGCUGGCGGCAGGCCUAACACAUGCAAGUCGAGCGAGCGGCGGACGGGUGAGUAAUGUCUGGGAAACUGCCUGAUGGAGGGGGGUAACUACUGGAAACGGUAGCUAAUACCGCAUACCAUCAGAUGUGCCCAGAUGGGAUUAGCUAGUAGGUUGGGUAAUGGCUCACCUAGGCGACGGUACCUCGCUGUUCUGAGAGUAUGACCCGCCACACUGGAACGGGGACAGGGUCCGGACUACGACGAGAGGUAGCAGUGGGGAAUAGUGCGCAAUGGGCGCAAGCCUGAUGCAGCCAGGCUGGGUGAGUGAAGAAGGCCGUCGGGUUGUAAAGCACAUGCAGCGGGGAGGCGUUACCCGAAGAAGAAGCACCGGCUAACUCCGUGCCAGCAGCCGCGGUAAUAC
rnacentral:rRNA from 1 species